GACAGAGGAUGCAAGCGUUAUCCGGAAUGAUUGGGCGUAAAGCGUCUGUAGGUGGCUUUUUAAGUCCGCCGUCAAAUCCCAGGGCUCAACCCUGGACAGGCGGUGGAAACUACCAAGCUGGAGUACGGUAGGGGCAGAGGGAAUUUCCGGUGGAGCGGUGAAAUGCGUAGAUAUCUGGAGGAACAUCAGUGGCGAAAGCGGCUUCCUGGUCCAACAUUGACAUUCAGGUGCGAAAGCGUGGGGAGCAAACAGG
rnacentral:rRNA from 1 species